GUGCCAGCAGCCGCGGUAAUACGUAUGGGGCGAGCGUUGUUCGGAUUUAUUGGGCGUAAAGGGCGUGUAGGCGGCUCAUCAAGUCUGGUGUGAAAACGCAAGGCUUAACCUUGCAUAGGCGCUGGAAACUGGUGGGCUUGAGUUCUUGAGGGGAAGCUGGAAUUCCAGGUGUAGGGGUGAAAUCUGUAGAUAUCUGGAAGAACACCGGUGGCGAAGGCGAGCUUCUAUCAGAGGACUGACGCUGAGGCGCGAAAGCGUGGGGAGCAAACAGGAUUAGAAACCCCUGUAGUCC
rnacentral:rRNA from 1 species